CAGCAGUCGCCGCGGGAAUACAGAGGGUGCGAGCGUUAAUCGGAUUUACUGGGCGUAAAGCGUGCGUAGGCGGCUUUUUAAGUCGGAUGUGAAAUCCCUGAGCUUAACUUAGGAAUUGCAUUCGAUACUGGGAAGCUAGAGUAUGGGAGAGGAUGGUAGAAUUCCAGGUGUAGCGGUGAAAUGCGUAGAGAUCUGGAGGAAUACCGAUGGCGAAGGCAGCCAUCUGGCCUAAUACUGACGCUGAGGUACGAAAGCAUGGGGAGCAAACAGGAUUAGAUACCCCGGUAGUCCCUGUCUCUUAUAC
rnacentral:rRNA from 1 species